AGCCUCGUCCCAUCUGAUUUGGGUGUUGUGCGUCCAUCAUCUAAGAGAGAAAAAAAAUGAAUGGCCGCAUGUGCGUUUCUUUUCUUCUGCUCGUGUGUGCGCAUAACAAAAAAGAAUCAGUUCUUGGCAUGUUGUUCUGAUCGUCGAGCAAGGAGCAGAAAAAAUCGAUUGACCCCUUCUAUCAGGGGGUGCAUCGACUGCAAGAAAGAAAGAAGAAGAUGAGGGCAGGGGCAGGUUGCGAACAUUAGCAAGCAAGUCCCAAUCGGUCUUGUUGUGGGGUAUCGAUCACAAUAGCAAGGGAUGUGGCUCUGAUUUCUUGCUCCAAACUUGUUGAAUCGGUCAUUCAUCUUGGUGAAAACUUGACAACUUCAAGAAGGGUCAAGGCUUGAAAUAAAAAGGAGAACUCGCUUCAAACAUAAGGUAUCUUAGGAGCAUGGCUUGGUGAGGUUGGGUUCCUUUUGGGUAGUUAGUUUUAAUAAAGAUGCCACCUGAACAUAUUUGGUUUUUAUUUUCCUUUGAACUCCUUUUUGCAAUAAUUAAAUGGUUGAAUGUUGUUUAUGAAAAUGGUAACGCGUGGUUUUGAAAAUGUUUUGAAUUAAAAAGGAAACUAAGUCUUCCGCUAACGUAUUUUGUUAAAUAAAUGUUUUAAAAAGAAAAUAAAAUUAUGGUGAAAAUCACGACGUUACAGUUUUCCUUUUGAAGAUGAUUUUACACAUGUUGAUCAAGGUGAAAGAACAUUCCCUUCUUCGUGCAUUCGUGGAACUGUAAAUCAUACUUUUCUUCCUCCACCUCCUCCAGUGAUUCUCCUUGACCCACGUUUUCGUCGACUUGAAAAGUUCAAGAUCACUCAAGCCCUAUUGGCAUGCAAACACCUAGAUGGAAAUUAUGUGUGUGCACACGCCCUGAAGAUGAAGCCGCACAUUAACAGACUGGGAAUUGUAACACCGUAUUUUCCAAAACAAUUUUUCGCAUUUUAUAAAAACAUAAUUCAUUCAUUAUUCAUAAAAAUAUCAUUGUUUAAAACUCAAUUCAUAACAUAUAUCAAUCCUAAGAUCUCAUAACAUAAAAAUCCCGUGUGUGUACUGAUCAAGCCGGCGCCUUUCCGCGAUCCUCACUAGUACCUGAAACACAUGACAUAAAACACUGUAAGCACAAAGCUUAGUGAGUUCCCCAAAAUACCACAUAUAACACAUAUUAGCCACUCGAGGCUAUAACUCUAUGGGUCCGUGCACCCAAACUCUGUAACCCUCAGGUUCUAACUCUGUAAACAUGCACAACAUAAAUCACAUAGAAUAAUGCAGUGCAACACAUAACACAUAUAUAGCAUACAAACACUGUAUCACAUAACUCUAGUUACCUACUCAAGGUAAAGUAUAGUGAGAAGACUCACCUUGGAUAUCUCAGUAAAUCUCUGACUCGGUAACUCUGGUCUAGCCCCUGCCUAAUCACAUGAAAUAAAUACUCUAAUUAAUACCACCCUCAGGGCUAGGCUAAUCUCUUUCUCUCUAUACAUCCUCUAGGAAGGGUAAAAGACUAUCCCACCCUUCUGAUGUCUCUAAGGUCCAAACAUUGACUAACCCUAAAAGUCAACAAAGUCAACGGUCAACCUUGACCAAACUCGCCAAGUGCACAACUAUGACUCGGCGAGUCCACACGUGAUCUUUACUCUCCUAGUCCUCAUUCGACUCACUGAGUCAACCUCAACUCUGCAAAACAUCACUGAUCACAAUCUGUGAAAUAUCCCGACCCAACUCGCCGAGUCCGGCUCCUGACUCGGCAAGUACCAUCGUGCACUCUGACCUCUAGAUUCCCUCUGACUCACCGAGUCGCUUCCCCAACUCAGUGAGUCACCAACUGUGUGAUUAUUGGGAAAACCCUCGUCCUACUCGCCGAGUCGGCUAUUGGACUCGGCGAGUCCAUGCCAUGCUCAAGCUGAACUGACCUCUUGAGGUCAGAUCCGCUCCUGUAAACCAUAGAUCCAGCUUCCCAAAGCAUAAUAAUCACGUAAAUUUAACAUCUUGGUGCUCAUGCAAAGGCUCAAAGGCCUUAUUUGAAGAUAUGGCCUCUAAAAUGACAUCCUAAGCUCAUAACCUCCAUUAACACCCAUAAAGCUCAAGGGAAAAGGGUCUCUGGACCUCUUUGGGUCCAGAUCUACAGCACCAAUACGAGAAGGGACCAAUUACUCCAUAUAACCAUCCUCUAAAGGGGCUAAAAAGCCCUAACUCUAAGAAUUACACCAUAAACUGAAGAAGGGUCGAAUGAAUACCUCAAAAUGAAGUCUCUGAGCCUUGGAAUCACUGGAUUAGCACCCUCUUCAGCCUCAUCUUGUCUUGGUCCUCUUCUAUUUGCAAAAACACCAACAAUGAUCAAGAAAUGACUCCUUUCCUCUCACAAACGCUCUAGCUCACUUAGGGUUUCUCUCUGGGGUCUGGUAGCCGCAAUUGACGGCCAUAAUGCCCUUUAAAUAGGCCCCAAACCCGAGGAAUUAGGGUUUCAUUAAACAGCAUGGACUCGCCGAGUCCUUGGGGCGACUCGCCGAGUCCAGCCAUCCACCCGGAUAAUGAUUCGUGUCCCUACUCGGCGAGUCUACGCAUCAACUCGCCGAGUUCUUCCACAAAACUUGAAAUUCAACGAAUAAAUAUAAUACCUGAAAUUCCGGAUGUUACAGGAAUGUUUGGUGUCGUUUUCCUAAGGAAGUUAGUUGUUGAGUUGGUUCUUCAAUCGCUUCCUGAGUCAUAUAGUUAAUUCGUUAAGGACUACUAUAUGACGCACUGGUCAAGCGAAUUUGUUUGGAAGAUCUACCUCCUAAAUUUCCAUGGACGUAGGAAAUGACAACGAUGAUAGUCCGGAAAUGAUUUCUUCUCCUAAGAGAGAGAAAUCGGAUAAGAUCAAAAAGUUUGACCGUAAGAGAAAGGACGAUGCUGAGAUAGUUUCACGUGUCAUUCCUAAAGAUUCCAUCUGUCUUUAGUUCCAAUUGAAGGGGAACCAGAAGCAAACUUGCCCAGACUACCUGAGAUAUCUUAGAGAUGAUAAAGUCAAAUUGUAUAACUCUGCUUCAGGUACGUCCACUAUCUAACUCUAUUAAGUUCCUAUUUAUAGACUCUUAUUACAUGAUACGUUGAUCACAUUUUGAUGUUUUGUAUUAUCGAAGAGAAAGAAGGAAGCUUAAAAGAGGAGAAAAUUGAGUCUGAUCGUGAGAAAUGGAUUUCGGUCGCAUGCUUCGAUGAUCAGAUUUUUGAGCUGCUACUUAGGAGUUAUGAUAAAUUGCUUACGAAUAUUUAGAAACAUAGUUUUCAUAUGUAUUUGUGUUGUAAGGAC